rnacentral:rRNA from 1 species
AGAGUUUGAUCAUGGCUCAGAUUGAACGCUGGCGGCAGGCCUAACACAUGCAAGUCGAACGGUAGCACAGAGAGCUUGCUCUCGGGUGACGAGUGGCGGACGGGUGAGUAAUGUCUGGGAAACUGCCUGAUGGAGGGGGAUAACUACUGGAAACGGUAGCUAAUACCGCAUAACGUCGCAAGACCAAAGAGGGGGACCUUCGGGCCUCUUGCCAUCAGAUGUGCCCAGAUGGGAUUAGCUAGUAGGUGGGGUAACGGCUCACCUAGGCGACGAUCCCUAGCUGGUCUGAGAGGAUGACCAGCCACACUGGAACUGAGACACGGUCCAGACUCCUACGGGAGGCAGCAGUGGGGAAUAUUGCACAAUGGGCGCAAGCCUGAUGCAGCCAUGCCGCGUGUAUGAAGAAGGCCUUCGGGUUGUAAAGUACUUUCAGCGGGGAGGAAGGUGUUGUGGUUAAUAACCACAGCAAUUGACGUUACCCGCAGAAGAAGCACCGGCUAACUCCGUGCCAGCAGCCGCGGUAAUACGGAGGGUGCAAGCGUUAAUCGGAAUUACUGGGCGUAAAGCGCACGCAGGCGGUCUGUCAAGUCGGAUGUGAAAUCCCCGGGCUCAACCUGGGAACUGCAUUCGAAACUGGCAGGCUAGAGUCUUGUAGAGGGGGGUAGAAUUCCAGGUGUAGCGGUGAAAUGCGUAGAGAUCUGGAGGAAUACCGGUGGCGAAGGCGGCCCCCUGGACAAAGACUGACGCUCAGGUGCGAAAGCGUGGGGAGCAAACAGGAUUAGAUACCCUGGUAGUCCACGCCGUAAACGAUGUCGACUUGGAGGUUGUGCCCUUGAGGCGUGGCUUCCGGAGCUAACGCGUUAAGUCGACCGCCUGGGGAGUACGGCCGCAAGGUUAAAACUCAAAUGAAUUGACGGGGGCCCGCACAAGCGGUGGAGCAUGUGGUUUAAUUCGAUGCAACGCGAAGAACCUUACCUGGUCUUGACAUCCACAGAACUUUCCAGAGAUGGAUUGGUGCCUUCGGGAACUGUGAGACAGGUGCUGCAUGGCUGUCGUCAGCUCGUGUUGUGAAAUGUUGGGUUAAGUCCCGCAACGAGCGCAACCCUUAUCCUUUGUUGCCAGCGGUCCGGCCGGGAACUCAAAGGAGACUGCCAGUGAUAAACUGGAGGAAGGUGGGGAUGACGUCAAGUCAUCAUGGCCCUUACGAGUAGGGCUACACACGUGCUACAAUGGCGCAUACAAAGAGAAGCGACCUCGCGAGAGCAAGCGGACCUCAUAAAGUGCGUCGUAGUCCGGAUUGGAGUCUGCAACUCGACUCCAUGAAGUCGGAAUCGCUAGUAAUCGUAGAUCAGAAUGCUACGGUGAAUACGUUCCCGGGCCUUGUACACACCGCCCGUCACACCAUGGGAGUGGGUUGCAAAAGAAGUAGGUAGCUUAACCUUCGGGAGGGCGCUUACCACUUUGUGAUUCAUGACUGGGGUGAAGUCGUAACAAGGUAACCGUAGGGGAACCUGC